rnacentral:rRNA from 1 species
CACGUAGGGUGCGAGCGUUGUCCGGAAUUAUUGGGCGUAAAGAGCUCGUAGGCGGUGUGUCGCGUCGGCCGUGAAAACCUGCAGCUUAACUGUGGGCUUGCGGUCGAUACGGGCAUCACUGGAGUUCGGCAGGGGAGACUGGAAUUCCUGGUGUAGCGGUGAAAUGCGCAGAUAUCAGGAGGAACGACCGGUGGCGGAAGGCGGGUCUCUGGGCCGAUGACUGACGCUGGAGGAGCGAAAGCCGUGGGGAGCGAACAGG